AGCAGUCGCCGCGGGAAUACGUAGGGUGCAAGCGUUAAUCGGAAUUACUGGGCGUAAAGCGUGCGCAGGCGGUUAUAUAAGACAGAUGUGAAAUCCCCGGGCUCAACCUGGGAACUGCAUUUGUGACUGUAUAGCUAGAGUACGGCAGAGGGGGAUGGAAUUCCGCGUGUAGCAGUGAAAUGCGUAGAUAUGCGGAGGAACACCGAUGGCGAAGGCAAUCCCCUGGGCCUGUACUGACGCUCAUGCACGAAAGCGUGGGGAGCAAACAGGAUUAGAUACCCCGGUAGUCCCUGUCUCUUAUAU
rnacentral:rRNA from 1 species